AACCAGAAUUUGACAUAAAAUC
rnacentral:miRNA from 1 species